AGUGAUGUAUAUAUUUAGAACAUUAUAUAUAUAUAUAUUUGUAAGGUAUUCGUUAGGCUUUGAUUCUGCUGUAUAAAUAUUAUCAUGCACUUGUUAUUCUGAAUCUGUAUCUGACACUCAUUUGCCUUAAUUGGCACCUGAGAUAUCACAAGUGGUAUUAGAGCAGAAUAUCGUAGAACAAAUCCUUUACAUUGACACCUAGGAUAAAUAAACCUUUUAGAGUACCUAGGGAAGAUAAAUGUCCUUUUUUCAAAGAUUAAGCCUCCAACUCGUGUCUUCCUUUCUUUUAUAAGAAUGACGCGGGAAAAACCAUCUGUAGAGCGUACUGAACGACUUGAAGCCCCGGAUCAUCCGACCAGGGCUGAACUU
rnacentral:lncRNA from 1 species